CAAUGGUUGUACCCAUUGCUUUAAGUUUUGUUUAUGCAGUAAAGGUUGUGCAUACCGCUUAAAGUCAUGUACCAGUUUUAUUGGUACAUGACCUCAACUUUUCCAAAAAAGAUGGAGACUUUAGAGAGAGAAAGUAGAGAGAGAGCAGCAGAAAAAAGGGCUCCGAUGGGUUCCGGCCGCCGGUGAUGGCAGAGCCAUGAUGCCUUUAGACGGAGCUACAACAGUGGUGGUCUAGGUGGUGUCGGGUUGGACAAAUAAACAACAGUUGUGGUGCUAGGGUUUGACAAAGGAUGAUGGUGGUGGUGUUAGGUAAGAGGCGGUGGUUCAGUUGACAACUGUGACGACCACAACGGACCCGAUUGCAAUAAUAGUGACCGCGACGUUUUGAAGGUUUAGGAUUCCGGCAAGGCUUCAGUUAAUUCCUACGAGUUUUGCGGAUCAAGAGAAUUAAAAAACUGUGUAUUGAAUUCGAGUUUGGGCUAUAUUCAUGGUUCUUAAUAUGUUGAUUGUACACUAAAGCUUCUUUUGGAAGCUUUAUAUUUCAUACAAAGAGAAGAGAGAGACAUGAGAGAUAGAGAUGCGGAUUCGUUUGAGAGAGAGAAACGGUGGAAGGACCAACGUUUACGGUGGUUACUAGGCGGCGCACGGCGGCGCUUUUCACUUAUGACGCUACACGACUGACACUCAAAUAAUCAUCGAGGAGGAGUGUAUUUCGGUGAAGUAUGACGAGUCUCCAACGAAGAUCCGGUAAGUCUUCUAUUCUGUUGCAUGUUACAGUUUCAGUUACAUCGGUUCUUGAUGUGUCGUUUGAGACUAUUCUCGGUGAUAAAUAAUUCUGACAAGAAUCCGGUCAAGUUCCGACCAAGCUCCGGUGAACGAAACUCGACCUGCAUCUCUUUUUUAUUUUUCUAUGUGCAUAUGUAGUCAUACGUUUAGUUAUGUUGGUUAUAAAUGUUUGGGAAUUAGGUCAAGUGGUUGUAGUCUUGGGUUGAAAUUUGUUGAUCAAAGUCAAAAUAGUUCUGAUUUGGUUGCAAAGAUGAAGAAUACAGAGCUCAACUUGUGAGUAAUGUUAGACAUGACCAAAGAAGUAUAAAUAGAUUAGAGUCAAGCAUUAGUGGAGUGGAAAGAAGUAGAGAGGGUACAAGUAAGUGAUACAGAUUCCAUGGUAGUGGCUGAUGGAUACAGUAGUCGUUGGAAAGGUAGGUGCAGACUUUCCUUUAUCACCAAGCAAAGGCUUUUUGUGAUAAUAAACUUGAGUUACAAUGUAUUAUGCUUUAUAAAGUUAACUACAAAUCUUGAUUGUAACUUAAGCUAUUUAUUUUAUUAAUUAAUUAAGUCGACAAUUACAGAUAAAACUAAGUUCCCUGAAUCUGUCACAAGAGUGUAUGCAGAGGAUCGCUAAAGAAUUAGAGUGCAAUGAAGCUUCACGAGACGGGGAUUUGGCACGAGAGUGUAUGCGGAGGAUCGCUAUAGAAUUGGAGUGCAAUGAAGCUUCACGAUACGGGGAUUUGUUGCUACAAGGCGUUCGAUUUGCUUUUCGGGUUCAUUAGAUAGUUUGGCAGUGGAAAACACAUCAGCUCAAGGGGACACGCGUCAUUAAUCCUCAUCGUAUGAGAAACCUAAACCAUCUUUCUCUCAAAGUCUGGGUAGAGGGAGAGAUCGAGAGAAAGAGAAUCCGACCACACUCCGGCGGCCGGUGGUAUCAAUGACGACGGUGACGAUAGGGGUAAACGGAAAUGAAGAUGAUCGUCUUUUGAGAUUUAGGUUGUACAGUUGUUUUGUAAUAAAGUUGUCAUUGUCGUGGCUCUGGUGGUGUUUCGCAGCGUGUAAAGCGACUGCCGGUGGCGAAGACGACCUACUGCAGUCGAACAUUUGAUGAACAUGAAGUUCACUUGCAUUGCAUCAUUAAAGACAGAUAAACGCCACCAGUGGUACUGCCUCUUAAAAAAAAAACUCCCGAUGAAGUACUUGGCAAUGAGACUUGUAUUCUUAGAGUUCAUCUACACGGUGAUGGUUGCAAACACAAAGUGAAGAAACUUCUUCAAAAAAUUGACGGCAUUCUCUCUUUCAGCUGUUCCUUUCAUUAAAAAAAGAAAAGAAACUAUGUCUUUGACUUUUGAAGUCAAAGAAUACUUUUUCGUUUCAAACUUGAAUGUAAUUAUUGGAAAGAAAAAAAUGGUACAUGUACAAGUAGGUGUUGAAUAUGGUACAAAAGGGAAGAAGUUUUUGGUGUAGGUAUGGGUGGGAUAUGAAGGUCAAGAUUUGUCGGGUUUGACUACACAUGUUCAAGAUUUGUGACGAUGAUGAAUCUUUAAGUUCGGUUAGCUUAAUGAACUAAAGCGGGUAGUUUCAUUCAUGUGUAUAAAUGUGAUAGCAAGUUUUGUAUCAUUAAUGUGGGCAUAAUAGAAGAAUAUUAGUUUGCUUUA